AGAGCGUUAUUGCCUGUCUAAAAGUCAUGUGCAAUGGCUAAGAUAGGCUUGUAUAUGUUCAGUAUGUCUCUCUAUGGUACCUUGUUGUGUUGUCAGUCUUCAGAGGUCUUCACAAUUUACUCUAUAAUUACAUUCUCCUCUGCCCACUACACAGACUGUUUACUUCACUCUGAAUGAGCCAGAGUGCAAAUCAUUCCCAGGACUGCCAGAUGAACCAUGUAUUUUACUUCCAUCAGACCUUUAUUACAUUCAGACAAACCAGUAAAGUCACAAAAGUGGCGGUCUGCAUUCAUAUGCAAGCACACAUACAUCAUGCAUGAGGGAAGCAGAUGCUUAAGAGCUUUAAGAUGCACUUAAAACAUAUGCUGCACAUGGUGAUCACAUGUGCAACUGACACACUGACCCCAACAUCAAGCAUCCAGCUGAUCUGAGAAAUGAUACAUAUUCAUUCAGUUUCUGAAGUUUACAACAUGAUUUCUUUUACUAAGCAGGACACAAUACAGCACAAACUGUACAUCAGGUCAGUAUCUCAGCUGGAUUAAAUCAAGAGAUAAUGCAAAUGGUGGUGAGCCCACCCCAGGAAAAUCUUGGGAAACAAACAACACUAUCUUUGGGAAAACAGUUUGUUGUCUCUGUUUUGUUUAACUGAUGGUAGCUUUUUAAAACAGCACUUUGACAUCUAUCACUUAGUCUUGUGUCAUUUUCCUGUUCCUGUUUUACCCUUGAAGUGCCCCACAACUACAAAACACUGCUACAGCGUGCUGUCUGAAUGCUAGCUGACACUAGAAGGAUGUUUUCACAUUCAUCUGCUGAAAGUGGAAAGUUUCCCUGAGCUCAUUGAAAAUCAGAUUUUAAGGGGCGGGGCCUACCAGCAGGAUUUGUGACAUCACAAAUAGUCAGGAAGUCAGUCCUGGUCCAGUAUCAACUUGUACAGUGUGAUGUAGAAACUUGAAGCCACCAGUGCACAUCCACUGAGAAUGGACUUUACAGUGAAGUAGGAGACAUCUUGUGUCCAGCAGGAAAACUUUAGAAAUCAACAACAUUUGUAUAUUCAGAGAUUCUGGAAGUUUUAAUGAGGCAGAAGGAGGAGAUUACUGUUUAAGGAUUUUAAUGUGGAAAUUAUAGUUUUGUUUUACAGAAAAAAAUCAGACACACAUUAUUGUUCCAAGCAGACUAUUUGUAUAUAUGUCUUAAUACAUGUAUGGAGGGGUUGUUUAAGUUAUUUAACUUCAUAUGCAUAUUUAUACUAAAUUCAAAAACAGUAUAAUAUAAAAUCUGUAUAUGGUAUUAAUAUGUAUGUAGGCAUGCCUCAGGCAUGAUAAAGCUUAUAGUUAGGGCUGGAUCAGGUGAGUCCUGAACCAUCCCUUAGUUAUGCUGCUAUAGGCCUAGACUAUCAGGGGAUUUCCCAUGAUGCACUGAGCUCCUCCCUUCCUCUCUCUUUCUGCACUCAUUCAUGUUCCAUUAAUGCAUGUUACUAACUUCACUUCUUCCCCGGAGUUCUUGUGCUUUCUCGUCUCGCAGGUUCUCAUGGAUCCUGGUGGAGCCUCCUGCCAUGGUCCUGCUUGACUGCCAUUGCCAAUACUGUUGUUGCUGUGCACCUGUCUGUCUGUCUGUCUCUCACUCUCUCUCUCUGCCUCUCUCUCUCUCUCUCUCUCUCUCUCUCUCUCUCUCUCACCCCAACUGGUCGAGACAGACGACCACCCACCUAGAGCCGGAGGAUCUGUCCUAGGUUUCUGCCUUUUAACAGGCAGUUUUUCCUUGCCCUUGUCGCCAAGUGCUUGCUCAUGGUGGUACUGUUGGGUCUCUGUAAUUAAUGUUAAAGAGUUCGGUCUAGACCUGCUCUAUUUGAAAAGUGUCCUGAGAUAACUUCUGUUAUGAAUUGGCGCUAUACAAAUAAAAUUGAAUUGAAUU